UAAAUAUUUACAAUUAAAUAUAAUGUGUAAAGGGUGCUGUGUAUUAUUCAAUAAAUAUUUUGGUGUUGAAAUGACUGCCUUAUCAGUAUUUCUCAAAUUAUGCAAUUUUUGGCUUAGACACAGCAUGGUAUCAGAUAAGAGAAUAGCCAGUCCCUAUCAGUCCUCCAUCUAAGCCUAACUAAGGGGUGUUGAUAUACUUUUGAUUUGUUCAGGCACCAUCUAUUUGAGAACAAGCAGCAUCAGCAACUGACUUUAAGCUAGAAUUAAGACUUAUUAUUCAAGUGUAAAAUGUCUUGAAAUACUUUCAGCAUGAAGUAUUGUGUGAUGAAAAAAAUGUGUAUUUACUACAAUGUGUAAAUCAACAAUAAAGGAGAUUAAAAGUGGGUGGUUAAAGACAUAUAAAGUGAUAUGGUCUAGUUCAACAACUGCCUGUAUUUUUGGAAUACUGAAGAACAGUCUGUUGUAACAGGUUAAACCCCAUGGAAAGAAUGUGCAUCAUCGCAUCGCCUGCCAAAAAAAGGAGCAAAAGAGAGACUACCUGAUGUAUGGACUUGAAUACCAGGUUUUACCCUGCACAAGCUGGCCGACAUGAGGAGAACAGGAGUGGGAAAACCGCGCCCUCUCCUUGACCAAGAAAAGCUGAGUUUGUUUAGAGGACCUGAUCAAAUGAGAAUAUGCACGAGACGCAUCGCGCAAAGGCCAUGACAGUAUAAUAGUUGCAAAGAAGUUUGACCGGCUGGUGGCAGACUUGGAGAGAAAGAUGAGAGCUGCACUCCGCUGCCUCAAAGAAAUGCUGAAAGGCCUUGAUUGAUAUGCAUCUUUCUUAUGUAUAUAGCUGUUCGUGUGUAUAUACUGUACAUGUUAUUAUAGUAUGCUAUUAUUUUUUGUUUUUUUAUAAUCAAAUUAUGUUUAUAUUUAUUUCAUCAAAUUGCCAUUGAUAUUUAAUUACUCAUGUAUGUUAAAAAAUGUUGGUGUACAUUAAAGUAUAAAAUUGAA